UACGGAGGGUGCAAGCGUUAUCCGGAUUCACUGGGUUUAAAGGGUGCGUAGGCGGGUAAGUAAGUCCGUGGUGAAAUCUCUGAGCUUAACUCAGAAACUGCCGUGGAUACUAUUUGCCUUGAAUAUUGUGGAGGUGAGCGGAAUAUGUCAUGUAGCGGUGAAAUGCUUAGAUAUGACAUAGAACACCAAUUGCGAAGGCAGCUCACUACACAAUCAUUGACGCUGAGGCACGAAAGCGUGGGGAU
rnacentral:rRNA from 1 species